rnacentral:rRNA from 1 species
GACGAACGCUGGCGGCGUGCCUAAUACAUGCGAGUCGAGCGGACGGAUGGGAGCUUGCUCCCAGACCGUCAGCGGCGGACGGGGGAGUAACACGUGGGCAACCUGCCUGUAAGACUGGGAUAACUCCGGGAAACCGGGGCUAAUACCGGAUAACUCUUUCCCUCCCAUGAGGGAAAGCUGAAAGAUGGCAUCUCGCUAUCACUUACAGAUGGGCCCGCGGCGCAUUAGCUAGUUGGUGAGGUAACGGCUCACCAAGGCGACGAUGCGGAGCCGACCUGAGAGGGUGAUCGGCCACACUGGGACUGAGACACGGCCCAGACUCCUACGGGAGGCAGCAGUAGGGAAUCUUCCGCAAUGGACGAAAGUCUGACGGAGCAACGCCGCGUGAGUGAUGAAGGUUUUCGGAUCGUAAAACUCUGUUGUCAGGGAAGAACAAGUACCGGAGUAACUGCCGGUACCUUGACGGUACCUGACCAGAAAGCCACGGCUAACUACGUG